UAAGGCAAGUGGAUGGUCGCUUGUUUUUCGCUGCCUUUAUCGGUGGCGAUGAAAAUAAAGAGGAAAGUCCGGACUCCGCAAAGAAAACGCACCAGUUAAGAGCUGGCCCGCAAGCUUGAACACAUAGAGCUUGUGGAGGGAAAGUGUCACAGAGAAUAUACCGCCUACAGCCGCAAGGCUUUCGGUAAGGGUGAAAAUGCGAGGUAAGAGCUCACAGUUUUGUAUGGCAACAUACAUCCCGAAAAACCCUGCUAGGAGCAAGACCAAAUAGGGGUGGCGCGCAUAGCAAUAUGCAGACUUGUCUUUGAGUUGUCACCCGGGUAGGUUGCUUGAGGUUAGUAGCGAUGCUAAUCCUAGACGAAUGAUCAUUGCUGUGUUAAAACAGUACAAAAUCCGGCUUAUAGCUUGCCUUACAAU
rnacentral:RNase_P_RNA from 1 species